rnacentral:rRNA from 1 species
GCCAUGCCGCGUGUGUGAAGAAGGCCCUAGGGUUGUAAAGCACUUUCAGCAGUGAGGAAAGGUUAGUAGUUAAUACCUGCUAGCUGUGACGUUAACUGCAGAAGAAGCACCGGCUAACUCCGUGCCAGCAGCCGCGGUAAUACGGAGGGUGCGAGCGUUAAUCGGAAUUACUGGGCGUAAAGCGCGCGUAGGUGGAUUGGUCAGUCAGAUGUGAAAGCCCAGGGCUCAACCUUGGAACUGCACCUGAUACUGCCAAUCUAGAAUACGGUAGAGGGUAGUGGAAUUUCCUGUGUAGCGGUGAAAUGCGUAGAUAUAGGAAGGAACACCAGUGGCGAAGGCGACUACCUGGACCGAUAUUGACACUGAGGUGCGUAAGCGUGGGGAGCAAACAGGAUUAGAUACCCUGGUAGUCCACGCCGUAAACGAUGUCUACUAGCCGUUGGGGGACUUGAUCUCUUAGUGGCGCAGCUAACGCGAUAAGUAGACCGCCUGGGGAGUACGGCCGCAAGGUUAAAACUCAAAUGAAUUGACGGGG